GGGUUGUGAGGUUAAGCGACUAAGCGUACACGGUGGAUGCCCUGGCAGUCAGAGGCGAUGAAGGACGUGCUAAUCUGCGAAAAGCGUCGGUAAGGUGAUAUGAACCGUUACAGCCGGCGAUGUCCGAAUGGGGAAACCCAGUGCAAUUCGUUGCACUAUCGUUAACUGAAUACAUAGGUUAACGAGGCGAACCGGGGGAACUGAAACAUCUAAGUACCCGAGGAAAAGAAAUCAACCGAGAUUCCCCCAGUAGCGGCGAGCGAACGGGGAGCAGCCCGGAGUCUGAAUCAGCUUGUGUGUUAGUGGAAGCGUCUGGAAAGUCGCAGGGUACAGGGUGAUACUCCCGUACACUAAAACACACAGGCUGUGAACUCGAAGAGUAGGGCGGGACACGUGGUAUCCUGUCUGAAUAUGGGGGGACCAUCCUCCAAGGCUAAAUACUCCUGACUGACCGAUAGUGAACCAGUACCGUGAGGGAAAGGCGAAAAGAACCCCGGCGAGGGGAGUGAAAAAGAACCUGAAACCGUGUACGUACAAGCAGUAGGAGCCCACUAGUUGGGUGACUGCGUACCUUUUGUAUAAUGGGUCAGCGACUUAUAUUCUGUAGCAAGGUUAACCGAAUAGGGGAGCCGCAGGGAAACCGAGUCUUAACUGGGCGUUAAGUUGCAGGGUAUAGACCCGAAACCCGGUGAUCUAGCCAUGGGCAGGUUGAAGGUUGGGUAACACUAACUGGAGGACCGAACCGACUAAUGUUGAAAAAUUAGCGGAUGACUUGUGGCUGGGGGUGAAAGGCCAAUCAAACCGGGAGAUAGCUGGUUCUCCCCGAAAGCUAUUUAGGUAGCGCCUCGUGAACUCAUCUUCGGGGUAGAGCACUGUUUCGGCUAGGGGGUCAUCCCGACUUACCAACCCGAUGCAAACUACGAAUACCGAAGAAUGUUAUCACGGGAGACACACGGCGGGUGCUAACGUCCGUCGUGAAGAGGGAAACAACCCAGACCGCCAGCUAAGGUCCCAAAGUCAUGGUUAAGUGGGAAACGAUGUGGGAAGGCCCAGACAGCCAGGAUGUUGGCUUAGAAGCAGCCAUCAUUUAAAGAAAGCGUAAUAGCUCACUGGUCGAGUCGGCCUGCGCGGAAGAUGUAACGGGGCUAAACCAUGCACCGAAGCUGCGGCAGCGACGCUUAUGCGUUGUUGGGUAGGGGAGCGUUCUGUAAGCCGUUGAAGGUGGCCUGUGAGGGUUGCUGGAGGUAUCAGAAGUGCGAAUGCUGACAUAAGUAACGAUAAUGCGGGUGAAAAACCCGCACGCCGGAAGACCAAGGGUUCCUGUCCAACGUUAAUCGGGGCAGGGUGAGUCGACCCCUAAGGCGAGGCCGAAAGGCGUAGUCGAUGGGAAACAGGUUAAUAUUCCUGUACUUGGUGUUACUGCGAAGGGGGACGGAGAAGGCUAUGUUGGCCGGGCGACGGUUGUCCCGGUUUAAGCAUGUAGGCGGAUGUUCCAGGUAAAUCCGGAACGUUAUUAACGCUGAGGUGUGAUGACGAGGCACUACGGUGCUGAAGUGACAAAUGCCCUGCUUCCAGGAAAAGCCUCUAAGCAUCAGGUAACAUCAAAUCGUACCCCAAACCGACACAGGUGGUCAGGUAGAGAAUACCAAGGCGCUUGAGAGAACUCGGGUGAAGGAACUAGGCAAAAUGGUGCCGUAACUUCGGGAGAAGGCACGCUGAUGGUAAGUGAAGUGACUUGCUCAUGGAGCUGAAAUCAGUCGAAGAUACCAGCUGGCUGCAACUGUUUAUUAAAAACACAGCACUGUGCAAACACGAAAGUGGACGUAUACGGUGUGACGCCUGCCCGGUGCCGGAAGGUUAAUUGAUGGGGUUAUCCUCGCGGAGAAGCUCUUGAUCGAAGCCCCGGUAAACGGCGGCCGUAACUAUAACGGUCCUAAGGUAGCGAAAUUCCUUGUCGGGUAAGUUCCGACCUGCACGAAUGGCGUAAUGAUGGCCAGGCUGUCUCCACCCGAGACUCAGUGAAAUUGAACUCGCUGUGAAGAUGCAGUGUACCCGCGGCAAGACGGAAAGACCCCGUGAACCUUUACUAUAGCUUGACACUGAACACUGGUCCUUGAUGUGUAGGAUAGGUGGGAGGCUUUGAAGUGUGGACGCCAGUCUGCAUGGAGCCGUCCUUGAAAUACCACCCUUUAAUGGCUGGUGUUCUAACGUGGGCCCGUGAUCCGGGUUGCGGACAGUGUCUGGUGGGUAGUUUGACUGGGGCGGUCUCCUCCUAAAGAGUAACGGAGGAGCACGAAGGUCAGCUAAUCCUGGUCGGACAUCAGGAGGUUAGUGCAAUGGCAUAAGCUGGCUUGACUGCGAGCGUGACGGCGCGAGCAGGUGCGAAAGCAGGUCAUAGUGAUCCGGUGGUUCUGAAUGGAAGGGCCAUCGCUCAACGGAUAAAAGGUACUCCGGGGAUAACAGGCUGAUACCGCCCAAGAGUUCAUAUCGACGGCGGUGUUUGGCACCUCGAUGUCGGCUCAUCACAUCCUGGGGCUGAAGUAGGUCCCAAGGGUAUGGCUGUUCGCCAUUUAAAGUGGUACGCGAGCUGGGUUUAGAACGUCGUGAGACAGUUCGGUCCCUAUCUGCCGUGGGCGCUGGAGAAUUGAGGGGGGCUGCUCCUAGUACGAGAGGACCGGAGUGGACGCAUCACUGGUGUUCGGGUUGUCAUGCCAAUGGCAUUGCCCGGUAGCUAAAUGCGGAAGAGAUAAGUGCUGAAAGCAUCUAAGCACGAAACUUGCCCCGAGAUGAGUUCUCCCUGACCCUUUAAGGGUCCUGAAGGAACGUUGAAGACGACGACGUUGAUAGGCCGGGUGUGUAAGCGCAGCGAUGCGUUGAGCUAACCGGUACUAAUGAACCGUGAGGCUUAACCUUACAACGCCGAAG
rnacentral:rRNA from 1 species